AUCUACGGCCAUACAGAUAGUAACACACCGGAUCCCGUCUGAUCUCCGCAGUUAAGUCUCUCCUGGUAGCGUCAGUACUAUGGUGGGGGACCACAUGGGAAUACGCUAUGUCGUAGGUU
rnacentral:rRNA from 15 species